rnacentral:rRNA from 1 species
AUUGAACGCUGGCGGCAUGCCUUACACAUGCAAGUCGAACGGUAACAGGUUAAGCUGACGAGUGGCGAACGGGUGAGUAAUACAUCGGAACGUGCCCAGACGUGGGGGAUAGCUCGGCGAAAGCCGGAUUAAUACCGCAUAAGCUCUGAGGAGGAAAGCGGGGGACCGUAAGGCCUCGCGCGUUUGGAGCGGCCGAUGGCAGAUUAGGUAGUUGGUGGGGUAGAGGCUUACCAAGCCUACGAUCUGUAGCUGGUCUGAGAGGACGACCAGCCACACUGGGACUGAGACACGGCCCAGACUCCUACGGGAGGCAGCAGUGGGGAAUUUUGGACAGUGGGCGCAAGCCUGAUCCAGCAAUGCCGCGUGCAGGAUGAAGGCCUUCGGGUUGUAAACUGCUUUUGUACGGAACGAAAAGGCGCCUACUAAUACUGGGUGUUGAUGACGGUACCGUAAGAAUAAGCACCGGCUAACUACGUGCCAGCAGCCGCCGUAACAC